ensembl:lncRNA
ACGCUACAGUGCAGAGACGUAAAGACAAAACAGGGGACGAGCAAGUAAUGCAAAGCUUCAGCGGUAAAACCAGUGUGAUUUACAGCAAAGUGAACCCCUGAGGUACAUGAGACCAACAACAAAAACCACACAGAACAUCGAACUGCCUAAACUGACUAAACUAACAGCCUUUUAUAGUGAAAGCCUCUUUAUAGUGAAAUUGAUUGUUUUUCUUUUCUUUUCUUUCUUUCUUUUUUUUUUUUUUUUACUAUUAUUUGUUUACUGUACUGUUCACUACUGUUUGUAGUGUUUUGUACUGUUCUUUUUACCAAAAGAAAAGAUGGAACAAGAUUGAUUGAUUGCUGUACAUAAUCACAGGGCAAACCAGCAAAAUGAGAUGGUUAUAUAAAUAAGUAUAUAAAUAUAUAAAUAAAUCAAACUAAUAAAUAACACAUGAUUUCUUACGUGUAAUGUAUUCUGUG